rnacentral:tRNA from 1 species
GCGUUCGGGCGGCGGCGGGCGCGCUCCUGCUGCGGGCGGACGCGCGAGCAGCGGCGCGGGUGGCGGUUCCAGCCGUCCGAGCGCGCC